rnacentral:rRNA from 1 species
UACGGAGGGAGCUAGCGUUGUUCGGAAUUACUGGGCGUAAAGCGCACGUAGGCGGCUUUGUAAGUCAGAGGUGAAAGCCUGGAGCUCAACUCCAGAACUGCCUUUGAGACUGCAUCGCUUGAAUCCAGGAGAGGUGAGUGGAAUUCCGAGUGUAGAGGUGAAAUUCGUAGAUAUUCGCAAGAACACCAGUGGCGAAGGCGGCUCACUGGCCCGAUACUGACGCUGAGGCACGAAAGCGUGGGGAGCAAACAGG